GUGCAUUUUUGUAAGGACGUGUAAAUGUGUGAAUUGAUCAAUAAGUAAUAUGACUUCUCUUGGUCCCUGCUAUAUCCUAGGUCCUAGCCUGAGUCCUUCCCUUGCUCAAUGAGGAGUCUAAAGACCUUUCAUGGCUUUGGAGUUACAGGAUGAAAGGAACCUCCAAAUGGCCCAAAAGCAAGAAAACAGAAGAGCCCUCCUCAUCACAAAUAAAAGAACUGAGAGAAAAUGUUUCAAGAUGUUCCACUGGAAAACCUCUCCAGCUUUGAACUUGAAGGAAAAACACACUCUACAGGAGUCCCCCUAGUGAAAUGAGGACUGUGAUGCAAAGUCUGGGUGAAAAGCAUGUAACUGCCUAAUAAGAGAUCAUCUGUACAGCCAG
rnacentral:lncRNA from 10 species